ensembl:lncRNA H2AZ1-DT H2AZ1 divergent transcript
GGAAGGCGGAGGGAUGGGAACGGGGGAGAAGAAGGGCACCGCGGCGGGAGGGAAGAAACAGAGCGAGCUACGCUGCAGGAGCGCAGUUACCAGCCGGCUGCGAUCACGUGCCUGGGAGGAGGAGCUGAGACCUCAGGGGAGGGGCGCGCGGUAGCGUCCCGGGUCCCCUAGCAGGGCUCUAGAGACCACGUGAAGUCUCCUCGACAGCUGCUUUGCCUCAGGCAUAAAUCAGAAGAGGAAAACCAGCUUCUGGACCUGGAGAGAGGAUGAAAGGGAAUAGGAAUUGAGGGAAGCGGAAGGGAAGAAUAAGGGACCCCUGGAGAGUCCCUACCAAGCCAGACAUAACAAACAAAAGUCCUCUACUACUGAGGAAGACAGAACAGGGAAGCCAGCAGGGGAAGAAAAAGAUGCUGCUGCUCUUGAUGCCUCAAAAACAGCAAGGAAGAACCCAAGCAACUGAUGUACACACCCUUGGAACAAAUCUGCCCCAGAAGUACAAGACACACUCUUCGAAUUCAUGGAAUAAAUGGGAGGAGCUGGUGUAGUGAAGGAUGAAGAGAAGGCAAUGCAUUGGUUUAGACAAGCCUCCCAGCAGGACCAUCCUGGUGCUGCCUUUAACCUUGCAGUAGGAACACUGAAAAACAUGACUGCCUCCAUGGAAGCAGGGGAUGUAGAAAUGCUCCUUAAUGUUGCUGCAAAAUGGGGGAUCCAAGAAGCCCAAGAACUUCUGGAGAAUGUUAUUUGGACUAAAAGCAAGCUCUUGCCAACUGAAAGAACCAGGAGUUCUUAUAAACCAUAAUGUGUGCCUGCAUGCUCUUCCUGGAACAUGGGAUGUUCUGCUCUCACUUGUCCACUGUGGCCUUGCAAUGCUUUGUGGCAUUUUCAAUGGAAGCUCCUUUUACUUAUAGUCUCAUAUGCUGCUGCAGCAUUAAUUUGCUGGUUAAAAUCCUUUAAAUGAAGUGUUACUUAUAUGUUUUCCUGGGAUCUGAGUUUGAUCUCUUCUGGAUAGAGGAAUAUUUUAUUUGGGUUUCAUUACUGCUCACUUCAGCUAAAGUUUCAUUCAAGCCAGUGAGCAUUCUAUAACGUGGUAAGUGGAAAAUAACGAAGAAACCUGUCAUACCAGAGAUUGGCUUCUUGGAUGUGUUAGCUGGCACUCACAGAUCCACUGAAAGAGCUAGACUCAUCAUUAGCCUAAUCUAUGACAUGUGAUGUUCUGCCUAAAAUAAGCCUGUUUUCAUUUCUCUCCAUUUCAAUUUUCUGCUCUAUUAGGUUUCUAUAGUAUUUUAUUACACUCACUUUUUGUAUUAUAGAAAGUCCUUUAUAGGGGUAAAAAGGCUGUUAUUGUUGUCAAUUAAAGGGAAAAGGAUAAAGUAUAAGACCUAACAAUUAUUGACCAUCUGCCACAUGCAAGAUAUUUUCUUAGCUGUUUAACAUAUAUAUAUAUAUUUGAGACUGAGUUUCGCUCUUGUUGCUCAGGCUGGAGUACAAUGGCAUGAUCUCUACUCACUGCAACCUCAGCCUCUCAGGUUCAGGAUGUUAUCCUGCCUCAGCCUCCUGAGUAGCUGGGAUUACAUGCGUGCACCAUCACAUCCGGCUAGUUUUUUCAUUUUUAGUAGAGACGGGGUUUCACCAUGUUGGUCAGGCUGGUCUUGAACUUCUGACCUCAGGUGAUCUACCUGCCCUGCCCUCCCAAAAUGCUGGGAUUACAGGAGUGAGCCACCACGUCUGGCCUGCUUAACAAAUAUUUUAACAUUCACUAGUUAUAAAAGUCUUAUAAGGUGGAUCUUAUAACUCCUAUUUUACAGAGUGAAAACAGGUGUAGAGAAGUUGUGAUAUGUGCAAAGUCACAGAGUGAGUGAUAGAGUGGGGUUUUUAGUGCUGGCAGUCUGAUUCUAGAGUCAACAUUCUUAACCAGUUCUACCAACAUUACUCUCCCAAGUCAUUAACAUCUCUUUCCUAACAACAAAGAUGUUCUAAGAACAGAUAACUGGGUUUAUUACUGGCAUAUGGUGAACACUUAUCUUAGCAAAUAACUCAGCCCCAUUUUCUGACUAUGAUUUUUUUAAGGACAAACCACGUAGUCCUAUUCUUCAAAAGUGAUGUUUUUAACCUUAAUUAUAAUUAGCUGUAUUUAUCUCAUUUAGAUUAUAGCGCAAUUUUCUCCUUGGAAUAUACAUACAGAAACACAAAUUGAGGGUGACAAAAGUGUCAAACUGGAAUUCAAUAUGAUGAUUAAGCUGUGUUUAAAAUAUUUGUUUCCCUUUUGAUUGCCUUGUUUACACUGUAUACAUAUGGAAUAUGACUGUAAGCCUUCAGCAAUCUUCUCUUUGUCCAACGUGAACACAUAAACCUUUAAAGAUGUACAUGAAAUGGUCACAUGCAAUUUUAAAUUCUUUAAUGUAGAAAAUCCCAAAUUCAUAAACUAAAUUCUUCACGUGAACCUUUGGUAAUAGUAUUUUUAUCUUCUCUAGAAGCACUUUAUUUUUCUUACAUUUUUCCCAGAGAAACCAGUCUUCAUUUCAGUUUAUGUUGUUCAAGAUACAACUCUGGAAAUUUUAUUCUGUGCCACAAACACUUAUAAAAUACU